UGUCAAGAGAUUGUUGCAAUCUGGCUUUUCCAAUAAAGUAUUCAAUUUGUUAUCCAUCAAAGAAAUCCUUAGUUUUUUUUCCCUUCUUUACUUUCUGGGGUCUUUUGGAGCUCCUUGUCAGGUUUCACCAAAACAUUUUGAAUCAUCACUUUCCAAUAUUUUUAAGAUCAUUUUUCGUAGUACCUUGUUCAUUUUUACAUGUUUUACUUUUUCCCCAUUCUAGCAAAGACGCAUCCAUCAGAUCAUGCAACUCUUGCCUUUUCUGAAUUGCUGUGAACUGCUCCACAUCUUGAGUGAAAUUUUCAUCUCUCCAACAUUCUAGCAGAUACUUUAUACAUAUUUCAUAUGCUUCAGUAUAUAAGGCACUAUAAAGAAAGCAAAACUUUUCAUCUUCAUCUAAUUCUUCAUAACAAAAUCUUAAUAAAUCAAACAUGUCAUCAAUGCCAUCAUAUUUAGUACCAGGUCAUAUUCGCAAUUUGUUCAACCCAGCUUCCCAUAUGAGAAUAUUGUCUUUCCUUCUGAAAACUCUUGUUACCUUAUCUAUCAAAAGGCGCAAAUUAUCACACUUCUCAAUAACUUAUAAUGGCCACGAUGUCUAGAUGCAAUUACAAUCAUCUAGAUCAAAUGGGCCCCAAACAUCAUCUAAAAGAAGUAAAAAUCUCAUGCUCUCCAACUUUUCAGAUACUCUUGAAGCAAUUGUCUUGGUGUCGGUUCUACCUUGUAGUGAAUUCAAUUGUAGCUUUUGUGCUAUCUGAUGCUGAACCCUUUCUUGCAACUUUUCUUCAUUACCUUCAUAAGCUAGAGUCACAUAGAAGACUAUAUCAAACAAUUUAGAAAUUUGCAUGACUCACCCGCCCCCAAAAUCCUGUUCUGGUUACGCAGCUAUUUUUUAGACAUUGUAGUAUAUUUUCAAAAAUCAAAUAAAGAGAUGGCAUGUCUUUUAUUUUUGGUGCCUUUGGUUUUAUGAUAGGUUUUGCUGAUCUCUCGAUCAAAAAAUCUCAAUGCCAAAGUCUAAUGAACUCAAAGCUUCCUUGCAAUUGCUUUAUAUGUAUAAUUGGUGAUUACAAUAACCAAGCUGGAUAUUAUUGCGUUAUUUAUAUUUUCAACAUUUCAAUAUUUUCAAAUUUCAAACAGAUGCAUUUUAAAGUCAAUUCAGUUAAAAUUGCAAAAUAAUUAUAUAAAAUAAAAUAUUUUUAAGCGAUUGAUUACAUAAUAUAAUAAAUUUAUAAUUUAUAAUUAUGAUUACAGAAUAUAAUAAAUUUAUAAUUUAUAAUUAAUUAUAUUAUAAGGAUGACAAUUUAAAUGGGAUUAAAUAGGAUAGAUGGAUAAAUGGGUGGAACGGGGUAAAGAUGAUUUCCCCACCCUCAGCUCUGUAAGACUGGAUUAGGAUGAAUUGAUGUAAAAUUAUAAAUUUAUUUAUUUAAAAAUUUAUGAUAGAAAAAUUUAAACACAAUAUUUUUAAUAAUAUAAAUAUAUUUUGCAUUAAAAAUAAUAAUAUUUAUAUAUUUAAUUAUAUAUAUAUUUUACAUUCAAUCAUGCCGCAUUUAAUUUAUUAAUAUUCUCAAUGUCAAAGUUUAAUUGGCUCAAAGCUGCGGCCAAUUACUUUUCCAUGCCAAAGUCUAAUAGGCUCAAAGUUUCCUUACGAUCAAUUAUUUCAUUAUGUAUUAUUGGUGAUUACAACAAUCAAACUGAAUAUUAUUGUGUUAUAUAUUUUUAAUAUUUUAAUAUUUUUAAAUUUCAAGUAGGUGCACUUUAUUUUAAUAAAGUAAUAAAAUAAAUUCAGUUUUAAAUUUCAAGUAGGUGCACUUUAUUUUAAUAAAGUAAUAAAAUAAAUUCAGUUAAAAUUGUAAGAUAAUCAUACAAAAUAAAUAAAUAAAAUAUAUAAAAUAAAAUAAUUUUAAAAAAUUAAUCACGGGAUAUAAUUAUAUGCCACAAAUUUAUAACUUUUAAUUAAUAUUUAAUUAGUUAUAAGAAUAACAAUUUAGAUAAAAUUGGAUAUCAUGGAUGGAUAGAUGGGCGGAGCGGAAACAAAAAUAAUUUUUUUAUUUCCACCUUUUUGAGAUUUGAGUGUUGAUAUUGAUGUAAAAUUAUAAAUUUAUUUAUUAAAAAAAUAUAAUAAAAAAUUUUAAAUAUGAUAUUCUUAAUAAUAUAAAUAUAUUUUGUAUUAAAAAUUAUAAUAUUUAUACACUUAAUUGUAUAUAAUUUGCAUGUUACAAUCUCUUUCCAACGUUCAAUUAUGCAGCACUUCAACUCAUUAAUAUUCUCAAUCUCAAACUCUAAUAGGCUCAAAACUUCUUUGCGGCCAAUGACUUAUCUAUAUUUUCAACAUUGUAACAUUUUCAGAUUUCAAGCAGAUGUAUUUUAGUUUGAUAGGGUAAUAAACUCAAUUUAAUUAAAAUUGCAAUUGCAAGAUAAUUAUAUAAAAUAAAUAAAUAAAAUAUAUAAAAUAAAAUAAUUUUAGAAAGUUCAUUACAGGAUAUAAUUGUAAGUCAUAAAUUUACUAUUUAUGAUUAAUGUAUAAUUAAUGAGAUUAGAUAAGAUUAAUGUAUAAUUAAUGAGAUUAGAUAAGAUAGAUAAAAGGAUAGAUGGACGAGGCGGAGCAAAGAUAAUUCUCUUAUCCUCAUCUCCUUGAGAUUCGAAUGGUAGGAUAUGGAUUGAUGUUAAAUUAUAAAUUUAUUUAUUAAAAAAAUAUAAAAUUAAAAGUUUUAAACACAAUAUUUUUAAUAAUAUAAAUAUAUUUUGUAUUAAAAAUUAUAAUAUUUAUAUACUUAAUUUUAUAAUAUAAAUUAAAAUUUUAAUAAUAAAAUAAUAAAUUAUUAUCAUGGCGGGUGAAGAAAAAUAAUUUAAUUUUAUAACACAGUAUUCUUAAUAAUAAAAAUAUAUUUUAUAUUAAAAAUUAUAAUAUUUAUAUACUUAAUUUUAUAAUAUAAAUUAAAGUUUAAUACUUAAUUUUAUAAUAUAAAUUAAAGUUUAAUACUUAAUUUUAUAAUAUAAAUUAAAAUUUUAAUAAUAAAAUAAUAAAUUAUUAUCAGGGCGGAUGGAGAAAAUAAUUAGGUUGAAAAAAAAUAAUUGGAUUUGGAAUGGGGUGGGAAAAAUAUAUAUCUAUAUAAAUAUAAAGCUGAGUUUCGAAAGAAAUAGAUUAUCACAUUUUGUUUGCUUACUACUAUUAUAUAUAUAUAUAUAACAAUAGAUAUACAUAGUUCAAUUAUUUAACAUAUCCUUAAAGAGUACUAAUUUAUCUGCAUUCGAUAUAAUCAUUUUUGCUACGCUACUAGACGAGAUAAGUCAAGAAAUGUUGAAAGAUGGAAUGGACAAAGAAAAGUUGAGAGAGCUUAAACUCAAAGUUUUGGAGUUGGCAAAAGAAAAGUUGAAAAGGGAAAUCGCAGGACGUCUGAGGUUGAAAACAGAAGGUAUGACAAAAAAUGAUAUAAAUUCUAGAAUAGAAUGACAAGUAUUUGCUCGUUAUGAAUGAUGUUUGGUGCAUAUUUGAGCUAGAUGAUAUUGGUAUCUGCAGCAAUAACAAGGGCAACAAUGUGAUAAUGGCAUCAAGAAAUCAGGAUAUUUGUUGGGGUAUGGAUAUUGAUGCGAUUGAAGAGGUGAAAUCACUAAAAAAAAGAAGCAGUUGCAUUGUUCAAAGGAAAAAUUGGGUGCAAAAGGCAAACAUAUGAGAUUUAGACGAAUCGCUUAAUUGAAAAAGUGGCCAGGUUCUUAAUAAUAUAAAUAUAUUUUGUAUUAAAAAUUAUAAUAUUUAUAUACUUAAUUUUAUAAUAUAAAUUAAUAUUUUCAUAAUAAAAUAAUAAAUUAUUAUCAUGGCGGGUAAAAAAAAUUUAAUUUUAUAAUACAAUAUUUUUAAUAUUAUAAAUAUAUUUUAUAUUAAAAAUUAUAAUAUUUAUAUACUUAAUUUUAUAAUAUAAAUUAAAAUUUUAAUAAUAAAAUAAUAAAUUAUUAUCAGGGCGGGUGGAGAAAAUAAUUAGGUUGAAAAAAAAUAAUUGUAUUUGGAAUGGGGUGGGAAAAAUAUAUAUCUAUAUAAAUAUAAAGCUGAGUUUAGAAAGAAAUAGAUUAUCACAUUUUGUUUGCUUACUUAAUAAGUACUAUUAUAUAUAUAUAUAUAUAACAAUUAAUAUAGNNNNNNNNNNNNNNNNNNNNNNNNNNNNNNNNNNNNNNNNNNNNNNNNNNNNNNNNNNNNNNNNNNNNNNNNNNNNNNNNNNNNNNNNNNNNNNNNNNNNNNNNNNNNNNNNNNNNNNNNNNNNNNNNNNNNNNNNNNNNNNNNNNNNNNNNNNNNNNNNNNNNNNNNNNNNNNNNNNNNNNNNNNNNNNNNNNNNNNNNNNNNNNNNNNNNNNNNNNNNNNNNNNNNNNNNNNNNNNNNNNNNNNNNNNNNNNNNNNNNNNNNNNNNNNNNNNNNNNNNNNNNNNNNNNNNNNNNNNNNNNNNNNNNNNNNNNNNNNNNNNNNNNNNNNNNNNNNNNNNNNNNNNNNNNNNNNNNNNNNNNNNNNNNNNNNNNNNNNNNNNNNNNNNNNNNNNNNNNNNNNNNNNNNNNNNNNNNNNNNNNNNNNNNNNNNNNNNNNNNNNNNNNNNNNNNNNNNNNNNNNNNNNNNNNNNNNNNNNNNNNNNNNNNNNNNNNNNNNNNNNNNNNNNNNNNNNNNNNNNNNNNNNNNNNNNNNNNNNNNNNNNNNNNNNNNNNNNNNNNNNNNNNNNNNNNNNNNNNNNNNNNNNNNNNNNNNNNNNNNNNNNNNNNNNNNNNNNNNNNNNNNNNNNNNNNNNNNNNNNNNNNNNNNNNNNNNNNNNNNNNNNNNNNNNNNNNNNNNNNNNNNNNNNNNNNNNNNNNNNNNNNNNNNNNNNNNNNNNNNNNNNNNNNNNNNNNNNNNNNNNNNNNNNNNNNNNNNNNNNNNNNNNNNNNNNNNNNNNNNNNNNNNNNNNNNNNNNNNNNNNNNNNNNNNNNNNNNNNNNNNNNNNNNNNNNNNNNNNNNNNNNNNNNNNNNNNNNNNNNNNNNNNNNNNNNNNNNNNNNNNNNNNNNNNNNNNNNNNNNNNNNNNNNNNNUGAUGUUUGGUGCAUAUUUGAGCUAGAUGAUAUUGGUAUCUGCAGCAAUAACAAGGGCAACAAUGUGAUAUUGGCAUCAAGAAAUCAGGAUAUUUGUUGGGGUAUGGAUAUUGAUGCGAUUGAAGAGGUGAAAUCACUACAAAAAUAGAAGCAGUUGCAUUGUUCAAGGAAAAAUUGUGUGCAAAAGGCAAUAUGAAAUUUAGACGAAUCGCUUAAUUGAAAAAGUGGCCGGGUUCUUAAUAAUAUAAAUAUAUUUUGUAUUAAAAAUUAUAAUAUUUAUAUUCUUAAUUUUAUAAUAUAAAUUAAUAUUUUAAUAAUAAAAUAAUAAAUUAUUAUCAUGGUGGGUAAAAAAAAAAUUAAUUUUAUAAUACAAUAUUCUUAAUAAUAUAAAUAUAUUUUAUAUUAAAAAUUAUAAUAUUUAUAUACUUAAUUUUAUAAUAUAAAUUAAAAUUUUAAUAAUAAAAUAAUAAAUUAUUAUCAGGGCGGGUGGAGAAAAUAAUUAGAUUGAAAAAAAAUAAUUGGAUUUGGAAUGGGGUGGGAAAAAUAUAUAUCUAUAUAAAUAUAAAGCUGAGUUUAGAAAGAAAUAGAUUAUCACAUUUUGUUUGCUUACUUAAUAAGUACUAUUAUAUAUAUAUAUAACAAUUAAUAUAGUUCAAUUAUUUAACAUAGAUAUACAUAGUUCAAUUAUUUAACGUAUCCUUAAAGAGUACUAAUUUAUCUGCAUUCGAUAUAAUCAUUUUUGCUACGCUACUAGACGAGAUAAGCCAAGAAAUGUUGAAAGAUGGAAUGGACAAAGAAAAGUUGAGAGAGCUUAAACUCAAAGCUUUGGAGUUGGCAAAAGAAAAGUUGAAAAGGGAAAUCGCAGGACGUCUGAGAUUGAAAACAGAAGGUAUGACAAAAAAUGAUAUAAAUUCUAGAAUAUCAGAAGAGUUGAAUGAUAAGUAUUUGCUCGUUAUGAAUGAUGUUUGGUGCAUAUUUGAGCUAGAUGAUAUUGGUAUCUGCAGCAAUAACAAGGGCAACAAUGUGAUAUUGGCAUCAAGAAAUCAGGAUAUUUGUUGGGGUAUGGAUAUUGAUGCGAUUGAAGAGGUGAAAUCACUACAAAAAUAGAAGACACCAAAAUUAAAAGUAUAAUAUAUAAAUUUAGAUAAAAUUUUAAAAAUUUAAAAUUUUGAGAAUAUAUCUUAUAAAUAUUUGUAAAAAAUUUGUUCAUCAUCUUCAGAUGUAUUUUCAUUUUAACUUUUAAAAUCGGAUAAGAAAGGCUUGUAAUGAUUAUAUAUUUAUAGAUUUUUUCUAAUAUAAUUACUUUUUAACAUUAAUUUUAUUUAGUAUUCAUUUAUGUUUAUAUAUGUAUGGUUGAAACUUUUUAUAUUUAUUAUUGUAGUUUAUUAAUAUUUUUUAUUUUACUUGUUAUUUACCUAUUUAUAUUUCUAUUACAACUCAGUUUUAUGUUGUGGAUUUAUUUACUAAUUUAUUGUUAUAAUAUUUGUAUAGAUUUAGAUUUUAGAUAGAUAUUUUAUAAUCAUAAUUAUAAGUAAUUAAUAAUAAAAGUAUGGCCAUUCAUUUAAUAAGAUCAAUAAAAUUUAUUUAGGUAAACAUUAAUUAUCAACCUUUAUGGCUUCAAACAGAAAAAAUUAAUAUAUUAUUAAAUUACUAUUAAAAGAUAAAUAUAAAAUGCAUAUGAUUAAUCCAUAAAAUUAUUAUUUAUUUUUAAUUAUUUUUACUUAUUAAUUUUAAAUUUUAGAUAUUUUUUUAAAUAUUCUCAUGCACAUAUAUAUUAAUUAUAUUUAAUUUUUUAUGUUAAAUAUUAAGAAAAUAAAAAAUCAUAUAUUAAUUAAGAAUAAUAACAAAAUUAAUAAAUUUUAUUUAAUAUAUAUAUAUUAAUUAUUAUUAUUAUUACUAGAAUAAAAAGUCACUUUAUUUUUUUUUAAAUAGGAAGAGUUAUUUAUUAAGUAAGAGUAAUAAUAUAGGGAUAAAAUAAAUAAAUAGAAAAAAAUAUAAUAAAAAGCUACUUGUCACUAUCAAUCUAAGAUAACUUUAAUUACUAUAAAAAAAUAAAUCUAAAAAUUUUUUAAUAACAAAAAAAAUUUAAAUAAUAUAACGCGAUUAUAAACAUCUAUCAUCGAUUAAUUAAUUCAAUUUAUUUUUAUUCAUAAAAAAUUCAUCUAUUUAAAAUUAAUUAAAUAUAAUAGAAUUUAAUUAAAUUAAACUCUUUUAUAUUAGAUAAAUUAAUAAUAAAAUUUAAAUUAAUUUAAUUAAUUUAUUAUUUUUAUUAUUUUUAAAUAAAAUAUAAAUAUUUAUUCUUAUACAUAACAAUUAUUUUCAUCAUAUUUAUUGAAAAAUUAUGAGUAAUAUUUACUUUUAAUUCAAAAUAAAUUCUUACAAGAAUUUAAAGAAAAUUAAAUUAUUAUAUUAUUAAUUUUAUUAAACACAAAAAUUUUACAAAAAGAAUUCAUCUCUUUUAAAUUCUUUCCAAAUUUGAUAGUUUGUAAAUUUAUAUCUUUUAAAUUCUUUCAAAAUUUAGUAUUUCAAACUACGCAAAAUGGAUUUAGAGACGACGAAAUAGAAUUCUCACUAAAAUUUAUUAAGCCAUAUUUUUAAAUAUUUAAAUUACUUUGUUUCAAUAAUUUUUUAAAAUUUCUAUACUAUAUUUUUAUUAUUUUUUAUUAAUAAUUUUUUAAAAUAAAAAUUUUCACGCUAUCACCCCUAAAAGGUUUUAUGAACAGAUGCCCUCAAACUAAUAUUUAAUAUGUAUAUUGUUUUUUUGUAAGGAAAUGAUAAAAAAAAGUUGCAGUAUAGUUCUAAUAGCUUAAUUAGAGGAAGAUGCAAUGGGGGUUUAAAAUUUAUAUCUUAGAAAAUGUAUAUGGGGAUUUAGGUGAAGUUGGUACCUAAUGGCUGAUUUACUGAUAUUUAGCUAUAAGGAUUAAAAGACAAGAAAAUGCUUGAAGAAUCAUGCACUUUCUUGUGAGAAUGGCCGGACUGUUUUAAACUUUUUGAUGCAAAGUUUGGAGACAUGGUGUUGAUGUAUUUUUAAUUCUUGUUUUUCUCAUAGCAUAAUCUUUUAUAGUAUUGAGUGUAUUUGGGAGUCUUGAUGAUCAGAUUUAAUUAAAGAUUUUAUGCUAAAGUUUUUUUGGUUCCUAUUCUUAUUAAUGAAAUUACUUCCUUAUUAAAAAAAUUGGAAAUUCAAUGGUCUAAUAGAUAAACAUCACCAAGUCAAAAAUGGGUUUGAAACUCUUAUCAUCUAGUCAAGACUUGUGGGCAGAAAAAUUAUAUUAUAAAUUUUAAUUUUAAAAAAGUUUAAAAAAUACUAAUAUAGUAAAUUUAAUAUUGUUUCAUAUUUCAUAAUUUGUUAUAAAUUUGAGAGAAAGAUCGGGUUAAAACAAAAAUUCAAAUCAAUUAAAAAACUAAAUAAAGAAAUAUUGAAAUCAUGCUGCUGAAAUCAGAUAUUAUGCUGAUGUAAGCCCCGGUCAUAAUGCUCGGCUUACACUGCAUCCACAAUACCUGGUCAUAAUGCUCAGCUUACACUGCAUCCAUAACAUUUCUCCACUCCUAAAAAAAGAGCGCGUCCUUGAGCUCAAAGUCAGGAUGAGUCGUGAGAAAUUGAGUUGCAUCCUCCCAUAUAGCAUCCUCAGUACUGAACCCGUGCCAAUGAACUACAACUUUUCAAGUGUCACGAUUGAGGCGAGAACACAGGAUAGAGGCUGGAAGGGAUACUACACGACCAUCAUUGAGAGGGGGAAGAGUAGGAGGCACAGCGGGCGCGGCUCUUUUGUAAGCUUUGAGAAGCGAAACAUGAAAAACAUUGUGAAUUUUACUAUAUGCCGGUAAAUCCAACUGAUACGCAACCUGUCCAAUUCGACGUGCUACCAGAAACAGUCAAUAAUACUUUGGGGCAAGUUUACGUCGAAGCUUGCCAUUUAAUGACUUUUGGCAGUAAGGGUGUAAACGUAACCAUACCAGGUCGCCCACAUUAGAAGCAAUGUCUCGAUGUCCUUGAUCAUAAAAAGUUUUAAUGCGAUUCUGAGCCUGCUAUAAUUUGGCUCGCACCUCGUGUAAAAUGGAAUUCCUAUCGAGUAAUGCCCGGUUCACAGCAUCCACCCCAGAAGAUCCAUCCACAUAGGAGGGUAAGUGAGGAGGGUCCCGUCCAUACACAACUUUGAAGGGAGUAGUGCGAAGGGCAGUAUGAAAGGAGAUGUUGUAGCAAUAUUCCGCCCAUGGAAUCCAAUCAACCUAGCGUUUCGGGCAUUCGCCAACCAUAGAACGGAGGUACAUUUCAAUGGUGCGAUUAACCAUCUCGGUUUGUCCAUCAGUUUAAAAGUGAUAAAUAGAAGAAAAUGAUAGCUUAGUACCAUUCAAGCGAAAAAGUUCUCACCAGAAAAUACUAGUAAAAACAACAUCACGAUCACACAUUAUGGAUUCUGGCAUACCAUGUAAAUGAACCACCUGUUCAAAAAAAAAAAACUCGUGCUAAGCUAGUAGCAGUGUAAGGAUGGGCAAGGGGCACAAAAUGUGCGUACUUGGAGAAGCAAUUCACACUUACAAAUGCGAUUGCAAUAAAGAAUGAGCCCCACUUGACGGACCCUCUGUAAUGUUUUUGAAAAUCUUUCAUGUGUGCAAUCAUGAAUACUUGAGAGAAUUGAAGCAACUAGUGGGGAGGAGGGCUGUAAAUAAAUGCGAUUGCAAUAAAGAAUGAGCCCGUCCUGAAGAGACCAGAAUUGAUUCAUUUCACCUUGUUCAAUCCUUCGUUGAAGGUUUUUUAAGUCCGAGAAAAGUUGGAUUUCUAUCUUGAUGUCAUCCCGCAGUGAUACGCAUGGGUGUGAAAUAGCGAAUAGCUGGCUGUCAUAAUCAACUUUGCAUAAAGAAGAUUUGCAGCUCGAUUCAAUUGGCCUGCCUUGUAUUCAACCCGAAAAUAAAAACCCAUGAGUUUACUAAGCCAAUGUUGCUGUGGGGAGGUGUUGAGCCAUUGUUCUAACAAAUAUUUGAGGCUGUAAUGAUCCAUUUUGAUGAGGAAAGAGCGCUCCCAUAGAUAUAGAUGCCAAUGGUGGACGGCUUUGGCUAACCCAAUUAGUUCUCUUUCAUAUGCUGAGAGUUUUAGGUGUUGAUUUGCGAGUUUGCGGCUGAAGAAGGCAAUGGGAUGACCUUCUUGUUGGAGGAUGGCGAUGCCGCUAUCUGAAGCAUCACAUUCAACCAAAAAUUGUUUGGAAAAAUUAGGGAGCUAUAAAAUAGGUUUGGCAACUAGGGUGUGUUUGAGAGUUGUAAACGAAGUCAAUGAGGUGUCUGUGCACGGGAAAGAAUUCCGUUUGAGCAUAUUGGUGAGAGGAGCAGCAAUCAGCCCAUAAUCCUUGAUGGAUUUGCGAUAAUACCCGGUUAAUAUGAGAAACCCAUGGAGGGCAGUGAUGGACUGAGGUUGCGGCCACUCCAUGACUGUCUAAAUUUUUGUAGGAUCAACAGAAACACCGGUAGCUGAAAUAACAUGGUCGAGAUAUGCCACUUGUUUUUCUCCAAAGGAACAUUUGGAUUUCUUGAGAUGGAGAUGAUGAGCUCGGCAUAAUUCAAAGACUGUGUGAAGAUAGAGUAAAUGAUCCUCACAAGUGGCGCGGUAUAUCAGAAUGUCAUCAAAGAAAACCAAAAUAAAUUACCUCAAGUGUUUGGAGAAUACCUCAUUUAUAAGGGCUUGGAAGGUAAAGGGUGCAAUCGUCAAAGAAAACCAAAAUAAAUUACCUCAAGUGUUUGGAGAAUACCUCAUUUAUAAGGGCUUGGAAGGUUGAUUGCUGCAAUCGUCAAACCCGAAGGGCAUGACAAGAAAUUCGAAAUGACUGUGAUGGGUGUAGAAAGCAGUCUUUUCUAUGUUUGCCGAAUCCAUGCGAACUCGGUGAUAGCCAGAUUAUGGAUCAAGUUUAGAGAAAUACGUAGCUCCAUGGAACUCAUCAAGUAGCUCGUCUACCACCAGAAUAGGGAAUUUAUCUUUGAUGGUCUACCGCCGUACAAGCAUGGGGUUGCAAACAGAUUCUGUGAUCAUAAUUUCUCAAAGGAGGAAGCCCUAUAGGUUCAUCAAAUAGAUGAGAAAAAUUCAUUCAGCAAUGAAUAGGUUGCCAGGUUGGGGAGAGCCCUAUAGAGAAUGGAUACGCUGUGCAGAAGUAGCGGGUUGUCCUUGCAGGACUACGGGCUGUCCUUUGAUCUUGAAGCUCAUCGUAAGGGAGGUAAAAUCCCAUAAAAUAGGUCCCAAGGUGCACAACCAUUUUACAUCUAGAACCACAUCAAAACUAGCGAGGGGAAUAAUAAAAAAGUCAUCAGAGAAAGAAUUCUAGGCUAGAGAGAAUGAUACCGUUUUGCAGAUUCUAAUGCUAGAGAUUUUGGUCCCAUUUGCAACUGAUACACUUAGACCGGCUUGUGGGUGAACAUGUAGACCCGGACGCUGAGCUGCUGUGACACUGAUGAAGUUGUGAGUGCUGCCAGAGUCGACUAAACUAAGCAAGGUGUGGCUAUGUAGGAGAAGUCAUAAUUGCGUUGUCUGUGCAUUUGGCUGGCCCGUGAUUGCAUGUAAGGAUAUCUCAGGAGUAGUAUUUUCGUUUAAAGACAGGUUCAGCCGAUUCUUUAUAUUGGUGUCCCAGCAUAUAUGGCUCAUCACGAUUGUAACACAAACCCUUUGCUCGUCGCUCCGCCAUUUCAGCCUUUGUCAACUUUUUGAUAAAUGGAGAAGAGGUACUGUUGGAAUGUCAACUUUUUGAUAAAUGGAGAAGAGGUACUGUUGGAACUAGGGGCUGUCACUGGAACCAUAUUAGAUCCCAUGAAGUUUUUUGAAGCAGAACUGGAUGGUGUCGGUGUGGUACAAGUAGCUUUGGGAUUGACUCAUGUACUCGCCCACGACCCCUUGCGGAAGGUGUUGGUGCGUGCUAAGUGUUGUUUCUUUCAAAAGCACGAGCCAAGUUCAUAGUUUGGGCUAAAUUAGUGGGACUUUGCAUUUCAACAUCCAAGCAGAUAGAAUCAACCAGGCUUGCAUUGAACAAAUCAACUUGCUGAUCUGUUCGCACCAUAGUGGCUCGGGCUAGCAGAGUCUGGUACUGACACUAAUAUUCCUCCACGGUCCCAGCUUGUUUCAGGUUCACCAAUUCACCUAGAUGAUUUCCACGCAGUGGGGGGCCAAAGCUUAGAGUGCAAUAUUCUUUAAAGGUCAUCCAUGGCAGAUUGGGUUCUUCUUGUUCAACGCGAUAGUACCAGAGUUAUGCCUCCUCAACAUAUGAAAGGCAGACAGGCCAACCUUCUCUAGCACGGGCGUUUUUUGAUUAAAAAAAAAUUUCACAUAUGUGCAACCAUACUAACGGGUCCUCAGAUCCAUCAAAAGUAGGAAAAUCAAGUUUAGUAUACUUGGAUACCAUUCCGCUCCUUGAAUCUGCUAUUGCAUCUGGUCUGCCAUGUUGAGUCUCUUGGUUAUUGCUGUUGUUUUCCCCUUCUGAUUCUCGUCCCUAACUGCGGUUGAAAGCAUUGAAAAAAUCUUGAAACUGUCGUGACAGCCAUUGUAAUCGAGCCUCCAAUCUUGAUUCAGUCUGGGUGACUCGGGCUUCCAUUCGAGAUUCUACUGUAGCUAUUCUGGCUUCAUUGGCAGCGUGAGCCUCUUGAAAGAGAGCUCACAAUUUCUCGCUUAGGUUGAGAUCACCCAUAUUAUUGAGCUCUGGUAUCAAAUUGUUAUGACUUUGAUCGAAGGAUCGGAUCAUAGGGCGAUGCACUAAAAAGUAUGCUUACACGGCCUUUUCUUUUUUCCGAUUACAAACUCGUGAAGACCCUACGAUAAAAAAAAUAAAAGAAGUCGUCAGGGAGCUCUAAACCUCUGUAACACAGGAAUUUAAAUUCUAACCGAUGAUUUUAUUGAUUCAAUUUUUCCUUUUAAAUUCUAAAGGUUUCUUUAAAAAAUAAAUUUAAAUCAAUUAAGAAAUUAAAUAAAAAAGUAUUGCUGAAAUCAUGAUGCUCAAAUCAUGCUGUGAAUCAGAUAUUAUGGUUAUGUAUGGCCAGUCAUAAUGCUUGACUUACACUGCAUCUGCAACGCUCGGUCAUAAUGCUCGGCAUUCAUACCAUACUUUCUAAAAUUAUAAAAUUAAAUAAAAAAACAUUAAUAUUCCAUUUAAGAAAAAAAAUAUUGAAAAAAUAGUGUUUAUUGAAAGUUUGCAAUCUUUUUUAUCAAGCUUUCAUGGAAAGAAAUACUUGAAAGGGAAAGUAUCAACCGAUAUAUAUUUUUUUUCAAGUAAUUAAAUAAUAAAUGUUAUUUGUUAGUAAUCAAUUCAAUAAUUUUAAAAUAACAAUAUUGAGUUUUAUUAUUUUAGUUAAUUUAUCAGGCCAAAUAGUAUAUCCAUCUUUAGUGAUGCUUAACUUUUCAUUAAAUACGUGAAAUUUUUAAGAAAAUUUUUCUAAAUAUCUUCCUUGUUAUAGCAGCUAGGUACUACAAUAAUAGAAUUUUAAGUCAUAAUAAAAUAGGAAAUUAUAUAACAAUAAGGAUUUAAAAAUUUUGUUUAAAGGCCUAAUUUUAAUAAAUGGUCAAUGAAAAUAAAAUAUUUAAAAUAAAAUAUAUAAAAUAAAUAAAUAUUUAAAAAAUUUAUAAAAAAUAAUAAAAUAUUAUAAUUUAUUUAUUUAUUUAUUAAAAUAUAUUGAUAACAAUCUCAUUUUUAAUGUUUAUAAAUAUAUUUUUUAAUAUAAGUCAACAUUCAACCGAUUAAAUCACUCAUCUCUUAUUUUAUUAUGAAAUUGACUUUUAAUAAUAUUUAUUAUAAAAACAAACUCUUUCUAUCAUAGUUGUAACUAGGGGUGAGCAGUAUUCGGUUCAAAUCGAAAAAAUUGAUCGAAUCGAACCGAUUUGAAAAUUUAGUUCGAUUUUUUUAUAUAUUUCGGUUUGGUUCGAUUUUUAAUUUUAGAAAUUUUGGUUAUUUCGGUUCGGUUCAGUUUUAAUCAGAAAAAAAUCAAAAAAACCGAACUGAACCGAUUAGUGAUAAUAAUAUAUUUUUUUAAUAAUAUAGAGAAAUUAAAUCAUAUUAAGAUUAAAAAAUUUUAAUUAAAUUUUAAAAUACAAAAAAUAAAGUGUAAAAAAUAAAAAAAUUAUUAAAAAUCGAAACCGAACAAACCGAAUCUAAUCGAACCGAAUCAGACCGGUUCGGUUGGAUUUGGUUUCUGACCAAAAUCAAUUCGAUUCGGUUUUCAUAAACACUAAAAUUUUGAUUUUUGAUUUAUUCAGUUCGGUUCGGUUUUGAACCGAACCGACCGAAUGCUCACCCCUACCCUAGUUGUAACAUGUAAAUUCAUGAAAAAAUAAUAUUAUUAAAAUAAUAUAUUAAUUUAAUAUAAUAUUUAUUAUAAAAUUUAUUUAUUAAAAUUAAAUGAUCUAACCCAUUAAUUAUAAAACAAUUUUUCUCUUUCAUUUUUUCUAAAUUUAAAUAAUAACCUAUUAUCUAUAAAAAUAAUAUUUGUUUAUAUUUAAGUAAUUUUAAAUUUAAAUCAUUUAAUCUAUUAUCUAUUAAAUUUAUAUUUUAAAAUUAAAUUAUUUUUUAAAUUUAAAUAUUCCAUAAAACUUAUUAAUUAAUAAAACAUUUCUCAUAAAUUAUUUUUAUUUAUAAAAAUUUAAAAUUUAUUUCUCAGUUUAACAAAUAAUUUCAACUAUAUAAAUAGAUUAUAAACUAAUUAAGUGAAAUAAUUAUUUUUUAAUAAUAAAAAUAACAUAUAAAAUUAAAUUAUGCAAUGACUGAAUAAUUUAAAAAAUUAAUGUAUUAAAGUUGAAAUUUUAAAGAUAAAAAAUAAAUUUUUUAAAGUAGAAAAAAUAAAGAAUGAGUAGGAUAAAAUAAAAUAAACAAUUAAAAUUAAAUUAACUAAAUAGUAAUGAAGGCGGAUAAGAAUUUAUUUAAUAAAAAAUUAAAAAAUUUAAUUUUAUAAAAUAUAAAAUAUUUUAAUAUAGAAUAAUUUUGAAAUAAAAACUAACUAAUUUAAUGAUAAUUUUUUCUAUUAUAUAUAAAAUUACCUAAAUACCCUAUACAAUUUAAAAUUUUUCAGAGCAAUGUUGGCUCCGUCACUUACAACAUGGGUUGACAUAACAAAUAAAAAGACAGGUUUAUCGUAUAGUGUAAGAGUUCUUUGAUCUAGAGUUCUAAAAUGGAACUACAAAAGAAAAGCUAGCACUUAUCAACAAAAUGAGAUAAUAGGCCAGUAAUUACACAGCCACCACAAGAAAAAAAUAAUAGUGAAAAAAAAAGCUUGAUUUGGUAGAAACCAUACAGGAUUGCAAAAGUUACUGUCUUGAACUGCAUAAAGAUAGAUAAAGUUGGAAAUUUUAACCAACCUUGUAAUAGAACGGGAGAAUCUCACUAUCCAAAAAAAAAAAAGAAACAAAACAAAAAUGCUAGUUUAUCAAAUUUGUACAAACUAUAUAGGCAGAUCCAGAAAAGGAGAUAGACCAUAAAGGACCUAAUAAAUGCAAAAAUUACCUCAUAAAUUUCUCAACAGUUAAAUUCUUCUAUUUAUUAAAUAAUUAUCUUUUGAAAUCGAAGUAAAAUAAUGAAAAAAAUAUAACUUUAUAAUAUUUAUAUAAAUUAUUCUCCAUUGGAUUGCGAAGCUUAAGUAUUUUUCUUAUUCAUAUUGCUACUGUGCCACCAAAGCUUGAGCAACGAGAGGGGCUUUGAGAUUUAAACAAUAAUAUUAGUAAAAGAAUUACAUGAAAAUUUUCAACAAUCUAAAAUGUCAUUUAUUAUUUAAAUUUUUCUUAAAUAAUGAUAAUUAUCUAACUAAUAAUUAUAAAAAAUUAAAAAUAUAAUAAAAAUAAUGUAAUAUUUUAUAUUUUUCCACAAUAAUAAUUUUAAAUAUUUGAAAAUCUAUUCCACUAGUAAACAAGCGUCUAAUUUUUCGUAUUACAAAUAGUGUUCUCGUUGUUCAAAAGUUGAUUUGAAUCAAAUUUCAAUUCAAACUAUCUUUAUUCAUUAUAAUAAAUAUUUAAUUGAUUUUAUAAUCAAAUUCAAUAAAAUUUAUAUAUUUUUUAUUAAUUAACCAUUCAAAUCAUCUAUUACCUCUAUAUUCAUUACAUAUUAAAAUUAAUUUAUUAAUUAAUGAUAUACUGAAAUAUAAUAAAAAAUCAUUCAGGUUUCAACUGCAAAUUUAUUAAUAUAAUAAAAAUAUAACUAAAAAUUAUACAUUAAAAAAUAUCAUAAAAAUUAAAUAAAAAUAAAAUAAUUAAAUUUAUAUAUUACAUUUCAAAUAAUAAAAAAUAAAAAAUAUCUAAUUGAUUUUAUAAAUUAUACACUUUUAAAUCCUGUAAACCAAAAAAAUUUAACUUCAAAAUAAAAAUUAUAACUUUAAUUUUAAUUUUUUAGAAAUUAAAAAAUUAAAAUAAUUUCUGCAUAUUAUUUUAAUUAUUUUAAAAAAUAUGACUAAUUUAAUUUUUUAAAAAAGAAAAAUAAAAUAAAAAAAUAAAAUAUAUUUUACAUAUUAUUUUAACUUUUUUUAGAAAUGUGAAUACUUUUAAAUUUUGUACGAAUUAAAAAUUAAAAGAAUUUAUACAUAUUAGUUUAAUUUUUUCAUAAAUGUGAUUAAUUUUAAUUUUAUAAAAAUUAAAAAAUUAUUACACUUGAAAUAAUUACAGAAAAAUAAAAAACGUCCCUACGAAAUACACUGAAAAUGUAAGAAUAUGACUAAUUUUUAAUUUUUUAGAAAUUAAAAAAUAAAAAUAAAAUAAUUAAAUUCAGAUAUUAUAUUUUUAAUAAUAAUAGAAAUAUAAAAAAAUAUAAUUAGUAUUAUAUUCAAACAAAACACACAAACUAAACUAAACACACAAAUUAAACUAAACAAGAGGAGGUAAAACUAAAAUUUAAUAUGCGUAAUUGAAUAUAAAAUGAUUAUUUGUUAGUUAAUUAAUAAAAAAUAUAUAAAUUAAAUAAAAUAUUUAAAUCAUUUAAUUAAGUUUGAACUAGAUUAAAUUAAUUGGAUAUUUCAAAGAUUGAACCGAUCUAUGAACACCCCUAGCGUUCCAAUGUCAAAAACUCUCAAAUUCUCUAAGUGUCAAUGGAGAGGCCAGGGGAGUUCCAUCAGUUGGUCACAACAACUCAAAGCAAUGGAUUUCCAAAGUUUCCAAGCAAAAUGGUUGGUGCAGAGAAGAUCUAAAACUCAUAGAUUUUGCAUAGAUUCAAAAAAUUUAUCAAUGGUCUUGCAUAGUUGCAACAAUUAAAUCAACCACUAUAAUAUGCCAUUUGCUGGCCUUACAAAUUUUCAGUUUUGCAUCAUUUUUUAUCCUUAUGAAAUAAUCAUUCAAAACAAAAUUUUAUUUUAUUGAGAAAUUUAACCAUGACAUUAAAGUAACAACAAAGCCAUUUUCAAAAAUCAUUUAACAUUUUUACCUCUGAAGUAUGUUUUUUCUGUAUUGACAUAACAAACACAAACGUAAGCAGAAAUGUUAAAUUACUGCACAAAGAUCAUUCUUCUAUUCUCACCUGGUUAAGACUUGGAUUGAGUUAGGUAAUUUUCCAUCGGAUCAAGGUGACGUGGAUUUUCUUUUUUUUUUUCUUUUUAUUUUAAUUAAUGUAAAAAUAUAAAUUUAUUUAAUAAACAUAUAUGAUAGAAAUAAACAUAUAUUUUGUAUUAAAAAUUAUAACAUUUAUAUACUUAAUUAUAUUAUAUAAAUUAAUUUUUAAUAAAAAAUAAUAAUAAAUUAUUAUCGGUGCUGGUUUAGUAUGGGAGGCAAAUUUGAGCCGUCAAAAGUUCUAUGAUAUUUACUGGGUACCAUAUCUUCAAACAAAUAUUGAAUACUUAUAAUAUUCUUUUUAAAGAAAUGCUAUAAUAUAUGUCUUUAGAUAAGUUUUGACUUGAAAUUGUCACUUGUAGAUAUAAGUAGUCAUAUUUUGAUUUAAUUUUAUUUUUUCAAUUUUCAGUACUUUACAAUUGAAAAUUUUAAGACUACUGCUCUCAAAUGUGAUUUAUUACAAAAUAUGAACUCAUGGAAUUAUACAUAAAGAGUUUUUUUUUUUUUUUCAUUUUAGAUUGAUCGUUGUUCAUAUUAUUAAUUUGAAAAAGGUUGAAAUUUUAAGUCAAUCUAUAAUAAUGGUUACAGUGUAGUUCUAACAGCGAGAUUUGAGAAAGAUGAAAUGGAAUAAACAUAUAGUUAGGACUUCAAAUUUAUAUAUUAGGAAUCAUUUCAUGGGAUUAAGGUGAAACUGUUGAUUCUUCAAACCCAUAAUAAUGGUUGCAGUGUAGUUCUAACAGCGAGAUUUGAGGAACAUACAAUGGAAUAGACAUGUAGGAAGGGCUUCAAAUUUAUAUAUUAGGAAUUUAAGAAUAAAUUGACUAUUGAGAUAAAGUUUAAAAGUUUUUAUGAGCAUUUAGUUAAUGUAUAAUUACUAAAAUUAGGGAAGAAGUUGGUAAAUUUUAAUUGAAAAAAUUACAAAGUUUUCCUACCCUAGUAAAUCCAAAAUAGACCUACUUGGUACAAGCAGGCCCACAUCUAUCAAGCAUUUGAAGGAAAAGAAAAUUUUAAAACUUGCGGUGAGCGUGGAUCGAACACGCGACCUUCAGAUCUUCAGUCUGACGCUCUCCCAACUGAGCUAUCCCCGCUGGCUGAGUUAGCUGAAAUUUAUUUAAUCAAUAGUUAUAUAUCUGAAUUGCCUAAUAUCCAAGUUGAAGUUGUUUCUCGAAAGAAACUACCCAAGUUAUUGAAAGUUUGCCAGCUUCCCAUGUUCUAAAUUAUCCAGAACUACUUCUGCCAAUUCUUUGCCCGUCUCUUUGCAAAUUGUUCAACAUUAAUACAUGGUACAUAUAUUAUAUGAAGAAUUUGUGGGGCAUACAAGGGAAGAUAUCCAUCGAGAUUUUUGAGAUGAUAUUUUUAUCCCUAUUGAUUAAUGUAAUUAGGUUAGUCUAUUUGAGAUAAAAUCAUUAUAAUUAUAUUGUUUUAUUUAUUAAGUGAAAAAAAAUUAAAUAAUGGUAAUGUUAUAGGAGUUAUAAAUUUACUACUGUAACUAAAUAAAUAAACUAACAUACUAUAAAAAUAAAAGAAAAUACACAAAAAAUAAGAUAAAUUAUUUGGGUAUGACUUAAAAAUAACUAAUUAAACUAGUUCAACUUUCUUAGUGCUAGGCAAAUCUUGAUCAAAAUAUUUUCUCCAGUAAAGAUGAUUCUUCCACACAAUGAUUAUUUCUUUAAUGGGACACCUUUAGUCUCAAGUAAGAGAUAGUAAAUGAAGAUUCCCAUGAUCAAAGAAAGCAAAAAAAAAAAAAAAACAAACCAUACUUCAUAUAGCAAAACAUUAGUGUGAAGACUUAAGCAAUAAUGAAAGUGAAGAUCAUGUUCAUAGAGACAUUGAUACUCUGAGCAGCUGAUCUAAUUUUCAAUGGGAACAUUUCGCUUUGCAUUAACCACCCGAGAGGACCCCGUGACCAUGCAAAUCCAGCAACAAAUAUGCAUAUUAGAAUCACCACAAUCACUGCAUACCAUGUUGGCAAGUCUCCUGGGUCGCCAUUCACUCCAAACUUCAGCUCAAUUGCAAGUGCUACAACAAGCUGAUUAUUAUGAAAAAUUAAGGUAUUAGUCAAGUGGGUUGAGUAAAUAAUUCUACAACUAUAAUUUACCUGACAGAUGAACAUUUGCAAGCUUCAUUCUAUGUAGAGAGCUCUUCUGCCAACUUUGUCAACAAUAAAAAUUGAAACUAUGAUGGCUAGAGCAUUAACGAUGCCGGUAAUGAAAGCAUACAUGAGGGAAGCUUGGUUUUUAAAGUCAAUAUUCUGAGUAAAACUGGAGCAUAAAACACAAUCACGUUCAUGCUAGUGAGCCGUUGAAACAUUGGAAUGCAAAUUGCCAUAACAAAAUGUGGUCUGUCCGAUCUCUUGAUGAUAUUUCUUCAGGAAUUUUUAACCAACUUAGUUGCUUCACUAACUGCAAUUAGAUCAUCAAAUUCCUCAUCGACCUUGUAAAUGAAUUUAAAUUUUAAAAGAUUUUAUAGUAGUUGUAAAUUUGAUAGUAGUUGAAAAUUUUAUUUGUGAAAUUUAUUAGCGAUGGCAGAUUUGAUAUUUAAAUUUAAUAUUAAAUUUGACCAUUAUAAUUUGAUUAUAUUAUUUCAAAAUUUUUAUAACAGUUACGACGACUAUUUCUUUUCAUUAUAAUUGUCUGCAUUUUUAUAAAGAAAAAUAUUUUUAUUUUCUACUUUAUUUUUUCUCUUCUCUGUACUUUAUGCUGACUUACAAAUUAAAAAUAAAUUCUUAUAGUCCGGAUCUUGAAAAUUAAAAUUUUAAAAGAACAUUAUUUAAUCUUAGAGCAUUGCAAAAUAAAUAUUUAAGUACAGUAUCCAACACGAUUCAAAUUUUAUUAUUCUAUUCUAUUUUUUCAAUAAUUUUAAGGAUUUAGUCUUAUCCUUCAAUGGUGGAGAACAUGUUCACCAAAAUAAAUAUUUAAGUACAGUUCCUACGACUUAUUAUUCUAUUCUAUUUUUUCAAUAAUUUUAAAGAUUUAGUCUUAUUCUUCAAUGGUUGAAAAAAAUCUUAUCCUUAAGAAAAUCUUAUCCUUCAAUGGUAGGAUAAAAUCUUAUUCUUUAAUGGUGAGUGAGAAUUUUAUUUUUCAAUGGUGGGAGAAAAUAAUUAAAGGUUUACUCCAAGAUCUCAAUUAUUAAAAUUUAUUGCUGUUAAAAACUGGUGGUAGACAAUAAAAUCAGAUAAAUUUAUUAUUAUUAAUAUUUUUAUUAUUUAGUGGUAUUUUAUUUUUAAAAAUUUAAUAAUAAAUUAUUAUGAAGUGGUAUUACUCUACACAUACUUAUAUUUAUUUUGUUCAUAGUAGCAUUAAUAGUAACGCUCUAGAAGGAAUUUUUUUAUUUAUAAAAUUGACCUAAAAUAUUUAAAAAGUGUUGAAUGGAUUUUUAUACUUUUGAAGAUUUUGAAAAAAUUAUUUACGGGGUAAAAGGGUUGUCUUGUUUCUAAUAAAAAAAAUACAAAUUUUGUAUUUUUAUAUGAUUUAGAAUAAGCACUUAAAUAGUGAUAUGAGAUAUUUCACCAAGUUUUGGCUAGUGUAUAUGUUUACAAAAUUUAUACCUAAUAAAUGUGUAAUUAUUUGUUUAUAUGUGAAUGAUAUAUGUGAUUAUUUAUUUAUAUGUGAAUGAUAUAUUUAUAUCUGAUACAAACUAUAAUAUAGUAUGUAAAAUUAAAAUAUUUCCCUAUUGAUAAAUUUGAUAUAAAAUAUAUAAAGGAAGCAAAUGUGAUUUGGGUAUUAAAAUUGGAACGAUAGUAUAAUUAUAUCGCAAUAGUAUUAAUAUUGAGUUUCUUCUAAAACAUUUAGACAUGUCAAUAUCAAACUAGUGAAUACCAUAUAUAAUGUUAAUUCUCAAAGAAGAAUAGAGAUAAUAUUAUUGCUCAACUUAAAUAUGCAUAUAUUAUUAGAAAAUUAUUGCAUUUAAUAAAUUUUUCAGAUUUUGAUAUAGUUUAUACUAUAUAAAUUGAACAAAUUUACAUAUAAUAUAAUCAUGAUUAUUAGACUAUUUUAGUCAAAUUUAAGAAUUAUUUAAGAGGUAGCAUGAGUUAUGGUAUUCUAUACAAUAGAUGUAAUAUAAUGAUGUUAAUUGAAAUUUAGAUUCAGAUCAGAUAAAAUCCAUUAGUAAUUAUAUAUUUAAUUGGUGGUACAAUUACUUGGAAAUCAAUUAUUAUUGUUAAAAUCACUAUAGAGUAGUUUAUUGCUCUAGAAUUAGAUGAUUGUGAGAUUUGAGUUGUUAAGAAUUUUUUUAACAAAUACUAUAUUGAAAAUAAAAUUAAUAUCAUUCGUAUUGCCAAAAAACAAUAGCUAUUACAAAAAAUAAAAAUUUUAAUAGUAAAAAUAGAUAUAUUUAUCUAAAAUAUGAUAUGCCUGAGCAGCUGCUGAGAAAUUGAAUUAUAACAAUAGAGUCAGAAGUGGAUUUGAUCAAUUUUCUGAUUUAAUUUUUAAGAAAGAAGUUAAUAAAAGAAACAUUAAGGGAAAUAAGAUUUAGCCAAUGUGAAAUUAACAUUGAUAGGAAACCAACUUUUAUAAUUGGAAACCAACUUUUAUGAUUGGAGAUCCCAUGAAAAAGUUUCACAUGGGUAAUAAUGAGUCACUUAUUAGUUCUGCUAGCACUACUUAAUAUUGUCCUUUCCUAUAGUGUGAGAAGUGCUAGACUGUAUUAAUGAGAUAAUGAGAUGUAAGGUCCUAAUGAUAUUCAUAUCUUUUAUGGAUGAUAUUUUUAUGGAUGUUAUAUAAAUUACAAUAUAUACCUAAUGAUAUCACCUGUAUGUGUGGAGUGGGGGCCGCUUCUAUGAGAUUAUGAUAUAAUCUCCAGAGCACUUAUGAACUAUCAGGUGUGUGCAUGACCUAUUAGCGCAAAACAUCAUUGACAAUAAGAUCUGUGGAGUGUUACGAGAUUGAUGAGAUAUUAGUAUACGAAAAAGAGUUUUUGAUUCAUAGAAACAAAAGUUUCACCGGUAUGUUAAGUCUUAUUAAUCUACAUUUGGUUCAUAGAUCAAAAAAUACCAUAUUCGAAAUAUAUAUACUAUAUUUUUAAAUUCAAUAAUAAAAAUCUUUUAAAAUAUGUAGGGGAUUAUUGUAGUAUAAAUUUAAAUUUUAAAAGAUUUUGUAGUCGUGGAAGAUUUUAAGGUUGUUGAAGAUUUUAUUUGUAAGAUUUUUUGGUUGUUGCAAGUUUAAUAUUUAAAUUUAAUAUUAAAUCUAACUGUUAUAAUUUUAUUAUAUUAUUUCAAGAUUUUUAUAACAGUUUACUGCCACUAUUUUUUUCAUUAUAAAUAGUCUACAUUUUCGUAAACAAAGUCAUUCCCAUUUUCUAUUUUAUUCUUUUUUUCUCUAUAUUUUUUAUUAAAUUAUAAAUUAGAGAUAAAUUCUUAUUACUCUUAAUCUUUGGAGAUUGCAAAAUAAAUUUUUAAAAACAGUGUUCAACACGACUCAAAUUUUAUUAUUCUAUCCUAUUUUUUUAAUAAUGUGAAAAUGCAUCUAAAUAAAUAAAAAAAUAUUUAGAUAAGUAUUUAUCUUUUUCUUAGACCACAAUAUGACAAUUGAGAAGCUAUCAAAAUGUGAUAUCUCAAAGAUAAUUUGAUUAAAAUAUUGUAUUGCAGGUGACAUGUUUCAAACAAUCAUAAAUGGAAAUCAAAUGGUAACAUAAGCUUCUGUAAAAGUAGAGGUUGUUCUUAAAUAGUAUCUGUAUGUAUAUGCUGACCAUCAUUUUCACAUUAGUGUUGCUUCUAAUCUUUCCGGAUUGAAGAGCUAAUGACUAUUACUCUAACUUCAAGAGAUUAGUGCAUUGCGAUGAUAUUGAGCAUGAAAUAAGCAUGUUUUUCUAGUCUUAAAUAAAGAUUUCUCUUCAUUUCUUAUCCGAGUGAGAUAGCAUCUCUGAAUUGGAUUUCUUAUCAGCAUUCAUUUUCGAUGUAGUGUUGAUAAAUAAUAAUAUUUACUAUAAUUGAAGUGUGUUGUGUUCUAAUAAUAAAUACUUAAUUGUAGGACUACAUUUUCAUAUUAGAUAUUACACAGGAUUAAGGCAAUAGUUAUUCUUAUAUAAGCUUUGACGUCUAAUUUCUCAAGCUUCUCUUAUUACCAUCUAAUUGAAAAGGCCAACCUAAUUCCCAGUUUUUUGUUCAUGACAAAACCCUUGCUGCCACAUUGUAUGAUCCAUGUUGGAAAGAAUCCUCUGCCAUGAUUGUAAAUCAAUCAGUAUUGGAAAGAAUCCUCUGACAUGAUUGUAAAUCAAUCAUGAUCAAAUCUUACCAUGUUUAGCAUAGCACGAUUCUAGGACAUAAUUGAGGGCACAAUCAAAGAUCUAAUUGCUCAUAUUAUGUACUAUAUAAACUCUGUAACUUACUACACAAGAGGUAAGAAAAUAAAAACAGUUUUCUUCCUAUAAUCUCAAGAUGGUAUCAGAGCGGGUUUCGGUCUAAAAAUAUUGUCGUCCUGCAAUAAUCUUUUACCAAAUACCUUUCCCAACUUCUUUCUCUCACCAAAACAACAAUGGUCGACCUCCCCACUUUAAAUAUCUCCAACAGCCUCUAUGUACCUUCCUUAUCUUGCAAAUUACUCUCUGUCAGUCAGAUCACCAAACAGUUAAAUUGCAGAGUACUCAUGUAUCCUCAUUUUUGUGUUUUGCAGGAUAUUCAUAUGGGCACGGUACUGGGCCAUGGUACUGAGAAAGAUGGACUGUACUAUGUGGAGGAGGUCUCAAGUACUGGGUCAACUCAUUUAGCUCAAGGGUCCUCAACCCGACAAUUAUGGCUCUGGCAUCGGCGCUACGACUAUCCCUCAAGUGAUUAUCUUCGUACUUUGUUUCCUGAGUUUAAAUCCAUUGACAUUCCAGUUUGUACUUCAUGCGUACUUGCUAAGAGUCAUAAGAGUACUUAUCAUAUAUCCACAAAUAAAUCUGAUACUCCCUUCUUAAUAAUACACUCUGAUGUAUGGGGGCCUGCCCCGGAAACUGUCUCCUCUGAUUAUAGAUACUUUGUGACUUUUAUCGAUGAUUGCACUCGUGUUACUUGGAUGUACCUGUUAAAACAAAAAAGUGAAGUGGCUGAGAAAUUCUGUGAUUUUUUCCGCAUGAUUAAAACCCAAUUUCACAGGACCAUUCAAGUCCUCCUAUCUGACAAUGGGGGGGAGUUUGUCAAUAACCAUCUCCAAGCCUUUUUCCGGGAUAAUGGGAUCCUUCACCAAACUACUUGUCCUUAUACACCACAGCAAAAUGGGGUUGCUGAAAGGAAAAAUCGACAUAUCCUUGAGACUGCCCGAGCCCUAUUGUUUGAAGCCUAAGUUCCUCCCAAGUUUUGGUCUGAAGCAGUUGCCACAUCCAUUUACCUCAUCAAUCGACUUCCGUCUCGCGUCCUUAAUUUCCAAUCUCCCUUGCAUACCUUGUCCUCUCAUCACACCAUCCCUUCCCAUCUCAAACUUCCACCUAAAAUCUUUGGUUGCACAGUUUAUGUUCACAUUCCUAAAACACACCGCACUAAACUUGAUCAAUGUACUCUUAAGUGUGUUUUCUUUAGUUAUGGUGUCCAUAAAAAGGGCUAUCGAUGUUUUGACCCAAUCUCUAAACGGCUCUUCACUACCAUAGACUGCACCUUUCUGGAAGAGGAAUAUUUUUUUCCCUCGCCAACUAGCAGUGAGGGGGAGACAACGGCACAAUCACCAUCACUGCCAAAUUGGCUUAGUCAGGAGGGGCCAGAACUUGAUUAUUCUUCUCUUCCUGAGACUACACCAGAACUGGGAGACACUGACCAUUUAGUACAGUCCUUGGUCUCAACGUCACAACCAGAACCUGACACCGUAGAAUAUCCUGAGGAACACACAACUGGCUUAGUCAGGAGGGGCCAGAACUUGAUUAUUCUUCUCUUCCUGAGACUACACCAGAACUGGGAGACACUGACCAUUUAGUACAGUCCUCGAUCUCAACGUCACAACCAGAACCUGACGCCGUAGAAUAUCCUGAGGAACACACAACUGAGGUAUGUGAAUCUGAACUUUCUCAUGUUUCUAAUAAUCUUACCACUGAACCCAUUUCCCUUGAGGUUUCUGAAACAGGCCAAUAUGUUCUACCCCCUCGGAAUAAUAGAGGAAUUCCACCCAGGAGAUAUGAUCCAGAAUUUGAGGCAGCCAGAUCCAGAUACCCUGUGGCAAACAUUACCAAAGGAGAAAGACUAUCACCUCAGUUGGUCAACCUACAGAAAUCCAUUUGCUCAGAAUGGAUACCAAAGGAUGCCACAGAGGCCCAGAAGGAUAAAAGAUGGGUUGAGGCAAUGGAGAUCGAGAUGGAUGCCCUAGAGAAAAACAAGACCUGGGAAAAAUGCUGGCUACCCAAGGGAAAACGACCAGUGGGAUGCAAAAGGGUGUUUACCAUAAAGUAUAAGUCAGACGGAACGGUGGACAGAUAUAAAGCUAGACUUGUAGUAAAAGGAUUGGCAGAACUCCUAUGGAUCAGAAAGUUGAUGUUUGAGCUUGGAUUCCCAUCAAAGGAUGCAGUUGAACUCCGUUGUGACAACAAGGCGGCAAUAAGCAUUUCUGAAAAUCCAGUUCAGCAUGAUCGAACAAAACAUGUUGAAAUAGACCGACAUUUCAUCAAAGAAAAGUUGGACAGUGGUCUGAUAUCUUUACCGUUUGUUCGAUUAAAGGAUCAAUGGGCGGACAUCCUAACCAAAGCAGUAGCUGGACGAAUAUUCCAUGAGGUUUUGGGCAAGUUGGGUAUGCUAGAUCCACAUGAUCCAACUUGAGGGGGAGUGUUGGAAAGAAUCCUCUGCCAUGAUUGUAAAUCAAUCAGUAUUGGAAAGAAUCCUCUGACAUGAUUGUAAAUCAAUCAUGAUCAAAUCUUACCAUGUUUAGCAUAGCACGAUUCUAGGACAUAAUUGAGGGCACAAUCAAAGAUCUAAUUGUUCAUAUUAUGUACUAUAUAAACUCUGUAACUUACUACACAAGAGGUAAGAAAAUAAAAACAGUUUUCUUCCUAUAAUCUCAAGAAUCCACAACCAUAUAGCUUCACAGGACUCAUAGAUUUUAUAGUUAACAUUAUGUAAUACUUCAACACAAAUUUUAACUUUUAGUAUUAGUAAUGCCAAAGUUUGAUAGAUUUAAAGCUUCCAUGUUCUGGCCAAUUAGUUGAAAUGUAUUAUUAUUUUACAGCAACCAUAUUUUACAUAAAAAAAAUUAUUUUUAAAAAUGCUCAACUUCAUGCAAGCACCAUCUAAUAUAUCUCCUUUAACUAAUUAUUGGCUAGGCCCAGAAGAAAAAUAAAACAUUCAAUUACAAUUUUGUGAAAGAAGACUAAAAUUUGAUAAUUGGUUCUCUACGGAAAUCAUAACUAUUAUUUUCCAGUGUCAAACCAAAAUCUCAAAUUGAUAACUCUUAUUUUCUAACUUGCAAAUAAAAAAUAGUCAAUGAAAAGCAAUCUAUUGUAACAAAUGAAUGAAUCAAUAUGCAUAAGGCAGAACCAAGAAAGACACCAUCAAAAAUGAAAAUUAGUUCCAGGUGUAUCGAAUGGCAAUUUUUACUUAGUCCGAGUCUAUGGUGUGUAUCCCACCAUAUAUUUACACCAUAGACUGUAAGUUUCCUCUCUUCUAGAGAUUCAAAAGAGUGCAAGGAUGACUAGAACUUACAAAAACUAUAGUUUAGUCAAGGUUGUUUGCAAAGAUAAAUUUUUCAGUUGGCAAAUUCUUUUGCUAGGAAAAGUAGAAUCUGUAUUAUAAAAACAAAAUGAAAAUGCAAAAGAAAUAUUUAUAGUUUAGGUUCUAUAGAUUACAUAACCAAAUACUAUCAAAAUGAAAAUUAGAAAUUCUAGUUCAAGAUGCAACCAGUGCAAAAUUUCUAUCUGGAGACGGUUUCUUUAUGAUUAUGAUUGUCGCUGAAUCCUUCUCCUAGAAGGAAGGGUAUCCAAUUGUGGACACAUGGAAAUCCUUUUGUCUAUGGACUCCCAAUCCAAUGAAUCAUCAAUAUAUAUGCUUCUUAAACUUGGAAGACCAACAAGUAUAAUUGACUUCAGAUUUGGGAGUGCAGGAGCAUUCAUUCCGUUGUUCUCUGCUUCUAGGGUGACUUCUUCAAUUUCAUGACAAGCUUCAAUUUCCAAGUGUUGGAGAUUAGAGAAUUGUUGAACUAAACCGUUACAGAAAAUCUUCUUCAGCUUGGAACAUUUGAAGAAAACCAAAGUAUUUAAAAGGGCAAGACUUCCCGGAGGUAUUGAACCCUCCUAAAAUCUUUCCAAUUUGGGGACAUUGCUUAUGUACAUCUUCUCUAAGCACUCAAGAACUGCUCUUGUUAUUCCAUUGCCAUUAACAACAGUUUCCAUUUCAUUACAGCUUUCAAUCAAACAACUUCUGAUCUUGGUCAUAUUGUUAAGGCCAAAGUCAGAUAAGUUCAAAAAUCUCUUGCAUCCAAUCAGCUCAAGUACAUUAACUUCAGCAAGUACUACUUCUGGUACUGAAAGAUUGCCAUCACCAUUUGCAUAUUUUACAUGCCAGAAAAUUUUACCUUCAUAGUUAUCAAGAAUUUUAUACCUAGUUGAAUCAUAUUGACCAAUAGAGAAGGAAAGGUAAGUCAAUUUUGUUAAGACAGCCAUAUUUUAAAUUAUAUCUCUCACAACUUUAUCCCACCACUUAUUUUCUGGAUGAAUGUCGAUGACCAACUCUUCCAACAAAGAAAGUUGUAAAAUCAUAGUAUGAUUUGUUUUCAUAUACCUUGAUUUUCCAUAUAUCUUUUACAAUUACAUCCGAAAGCACCGGAGUUGGCUCAAACAACUUAUUUCAACCAGCAAAGAAUUGAUCCCAGUUCCUUGAAUAUCAAGAACCUCGAGUAGCUUAAGUGCGUUUAUUUUGGCUGGAAGCUUCAACAGUUUCCUGCAUGAAUUCAAGUAAAGAGCUCUGAGAUACCAAGCAUGACAACGAUGAUGGUAACUCGACAAUAUCGGUGCUCUGUAAGUCCAAGACCCUAAGACUUUGCAUUGAUUCAAAGAAUUGUCGAUGGAUUACUGCCAAAUCAGUAUUUCUCUGCUGCAGCAGUGUCAAGAGAUUGUUGCAAUCUGGCUUUUCCGGUAAAGUAUUCAAUUUGUUAUCUAUCAAAGAAAUCCCUAGCUUUUUUCCCAUUUUUUACUUUCUGGGUCUUUUGGAGCUCCUUGCCAGAUUUCACCAAACAUUUUGAAUCCUCACUUUCCAAUAUUUUUAAGGCCAUUUUUCGUAGUACCUUGUUCAUCUUUACAUGUUUUACCUUUUCCCCAUUUUCUAGCAAAGACGCAUCCAUCAGAUCAUGCAAUAUCUCUUGCCCUUUCUGAAUUGCAGUGAACUGCUGCACAUCUUGAGUGAAAUUUUCAGCUCUCCAACAUUCUAGCAGAUACUUUAUACAUAUUUCAUAUGCUUCAGUAUAUAAGGCACCAUAAAGAAAGCAAAACUUUUCAUCUUCAUCUAAUUCUUCAUAACAAAAUCUUAAUAAAUCAAACACAUCAUCCAUGCCAUCACAUUUGGUACCAACCAUAUUCGCA
rnacentral:lncRNA from 1 species